AGUCCGGUCGGGUGGUCUAGUCAGUCCAGUCGAGUGGUCUAGUCAGUCCAGUCGAGUGGUCUGACGGGUGAUCUAGUCAGUCCAGUUGGGUAGUCUAGUCAGUCCAGUCGGGUGGUCAAGUCAGUCCAGUAGGGUAGUCUAGUCAGUCUGGUCGGGUGGUCUAGUCAGUCCAGUCGAGUGGUCUAGUCAGUUCAGUCGGGUGGUCUAGUCAAUCCAGUCGGGUAGUUUAGUCAGUCCAGAUGGGUGGUCUUGUCAGUCCAGUCGGGUGGUCUGGUCAGUCCAGUCGGGUGGUCUUGUCAGUCCAGUCGGGUGGUCUAGUCAGUCCAGUAGGGCGGUCUGGUCAGUCCAGUCGGGUGGUCUAGUCAGUCCAGUGGGGUGGUCUUGUCAGUCCAGUGGGGUGGUAUAGCUGUGUGCUUGGAUAUGCAAUUAAGAUUACGAAAACAAAAUCUAUUACUUGUAACAUUUAGUCAGAUCUAAAGGGAUGGGUUAAAUGUCUGGAAAAAAGCAAAACAGACAACGAUUCUGUGCUAAAAGGAUUGUACACGUUCGUCACAACACGUGUUAAAGUCGAUCAAAAGACCGGAUUGUGGCCCAACAUUACCACCAGGAUGCUGGAGACAGUCAUAGAUGGGACAAAUAAAGAGAUGGGAUACCUGUGAUAGCUGUCGCGUAGUCUUUGUACGUAUAUGUAUCUUCUCUACAGGCAUAAGCGUUCUGCCUGAGAAUGACAGUGCAGUGGUAACGAACAAGAGAUGCACCAUCGAGAUGAUGAAGGUGAUCAAAAACAACAAUUAUGGAAAUUGCAGGGCUAUUGAAACAUACAUAAACUGUAUGCUUCGUGCUGUAUGCUCCGAGGAAUCCACAUUGCUCAAACGUUUUCAACAUUUCCUGAGGAACAAAGCUCUGGACACUCUUGAGCGCUUCAAGAACUCUGACUUGCAAACAAUAUGCAUCUGAGUUAGCAAAAUAAGCGUUUCAACUUUCGUAUCGGACGGUUUUUUAUCAACUUGUAAUCCUCUCGAGGGCUGAUGUAAGAUGUAAGCUCUUAGAAUAUGUUAGGAUAAUUUAUAUUUUAGUUUAUAGUCAGUAGUCGAAAGAAUGACCCAUUCUUGGCUUCUCCAUGUUAUCUGAUAAAUUUACAACUUGAAAGCUGAUUAUUAAAGAUAUUGCGAUCCUCAA